rnacentral:rRNA from 1 species
AGCUGAUCAUUGGGUGUAAAGCGUGCGCAGGCGGUUUUGUAAGACAGAGGUGAAAUCCCCGGGCUCAACCUGGGAACUGCCUUUGUGACUGCAAGGCUGGAGUGCGGCAGAGGGGGAUGGAAUUCCGCGUGUAGCAGUGAAAUGCGUAGAUAUGCGGAGGAACACCGAUGGCGAAGGCAAUCCCCUGGGCCUGCACUGACGCUCAUGCACGAAAGCGUGGGGAGCAAACA